UCCAUGAUUACGUGCCAGUUUCUUUUUCGACUUGACAAUAGCAGUCAUAAAUGUUUUAUUACAAUAAUAAAAUACAGACAGUUUAGAUAACAUGUCAAACAUUAACAGGUCGAAUAAGGAAACUUGAACAAAGCUGUGACAGAAGACAGUUGGAAAGAGUCAGAGAAAAGAGAAGACAGCCUCCACAUCAGUACUUUCAGAAACUAAAGGAAGUAGCUGAAUGAGCACGCAGUAGAGUUUAAAAUAGAUUUGCCGUGGUCUGAGUAACACAACAGAACAUUCAGUGUUUGCAGCAAGGAGUUAUUAUGGCUAAACUUGAAGAGGAGCUCUUUAAAACUCUACAAGAUUUAAAAGAAGAAUUCAAGGAGUUCAAGUGGUUCUUGAAUAAAGUUGACAACGGAGAGGGCUUGUCAGGCAUCGCAGCGGCUAAGCUGGAAAAUGCAGGAAGGCACAACACAGUGGAUCUAAUGGUAGAGAAGUAUCAGGGUCCUGAAGCCCUGAAGGUAUGAGGGUUUUAAAAAAGAUCAGCAGGAAUGAUCUGAUGCAGCACUUGCAAGCCUUA